rnacentral:ncRNA from 1 species
AGUAUUAUAAAAAUAACAUUUUAUUUUAGAAGAAAUUCAGUAGCUAAAUCAAUAUAGAUUUGAAAGUUUGAUUUUUGCUUAUUUAUUUUACGUUUAGGUUAAAUUCAUAAUUAAAUAUAUGGAAGUUCAGCUAUAUUUCUGAAAGAGAUGUUAAGUUCAAUAUAUAAUACUAAAUUAUUAAUGAAAAUUAGAUUUGGUAAUCUAAUGUAGUUCUGGUUAAAUUUUGUGCCAGCAGCCGCGGUUAUACUUGAAGAGCAAGUAAAAUUUAUCGGAUAAAAAACAAGGUCUUAGGAAAAUACAUUUAGUCUAAAUUUAAAGAAGGUGAAAUAAAUUUUGAUUUAGUUAAAAUUUAUUUUUCUAAAAACAGAAAGUUGUAAAGUCUAGGGCAUAGACUAGGAUUAGAUACCCUAUUAUACUAGAAUAAAAAGUUAUCCUUAUUAAUAGCAGUUAUGUUCUUGAAAAUAAAAAAAUUUGGCGGUGUUUAAUUUAUUUAGGGGAACCUGUUUUAUAAUCGAUACACCACGAAGAAUCUUACUUACUUAAAAAUCAUGUAUACCGUUAUUAUUAGGUGACUUCGAAAGAAAAGACAUUGAAAUUUCACAAAAAAAUAUAUUAGAUCAAGGUGCAGACUAUAGGUAAGAAAAAAUGGGUUACAUUAGUUUUAAACUAAACGAAGUAAUGUAUUAAUAUGCAUUAUAAAGGCGGACUUAAUUGUAAUUGUAAUUUAAUAAGUUAUAGUGAUAUAAAUACUUAAACAUGUACAUAUCGCCCGUCGCUUUUACAUCUUAAUGUAAAAUAAGUCGUAACAUAGUAGCUGUAUCGGAAGAUGCAGCUAGAAAUU